CAUUGGUGACAGGUGGUGCAUGGUUGUCGUCAGCUCGUGUCGUGAGAUGUUGGGUUAAGUCCCGCAACGAGCGCAACCCUUGUCUUUAGUUGCCAUCAUUAAGUUGGGCACUCUAGAGAGACUGCCAGGGAUAACCUGGCGGAAGGUGGGGAUGACGUCAAAUCAUCAUGCCCCUUAUGCUUAGGGCUACACACGUGCUACAAUGGGUAGUACAGAGGGUUGCCAAGCCGUAAGGUGGAGCUAAUCCCUUAAAGCUACUCUCAGUUCGGAUUGUAGGCUGAAACUCGCCUACAUGAAGCUGGAGUUACUAGUAAUCGCAGAUCAGAAUGCUGCGGUGAAUGCGUGCCCGGGUCUUGUACACACCGCCCGUCACACCACGGGAGUUGGAGACGCCCGAAGCCGAUUAUCUAACCUUUUGGAAGAAGUCGUCGAAGGUGGAAUCAAUAACUGGGGUGAAGUCGUAACAAGGUAGCCGUAUCGGAAGGUGCGGCUGGAUCACCUCCUUUCUAAGGAGA
rnacentral:rRNA from 1 species